AGUGGACUGUUGCUCUCUAAGAAGCAGAAAGCCAAAACAGAGGCGAUAAAAUGAACGGCUAAUCGAUUAGUAUACAAAAGAAUUUCGUCAAUUGUUCGGCUGUACAACUAACAUAUAAAAGUGAGAUUAUCCACCUGCUCGGUGAUUCUUUGGAAGUAGAAUUCGAUGUUUCUGUUCCUGCAGCUGUCUCUGCUGGCGUUUCGUUCGAUGCAGCUGUCUCUUCGCUGCUGCUGUUCUUCCUAAGUGCUGGCGGUCUAUACAAGUCCACAGAGUUCGAUUUGCUUACUGCGGGAGAGGAGAGAGAGAGAUAAGAGAUAAUCAGAGGAUGAGUGAGGAAAGCAGAAGAGUUGGCAAACAAGCAAUCACAAAAACCAAAGCUUCGUGAAUGUCAACACUAUAGUGAGAGAGAAAGAGAGAGAGAGAGAGAGACAUCGCAACAAGUGAGCGUGCGCAGCCAGCCGCUCAGCUGAGCGACCGAACGAGCGUCUGUUAAUGAUGCAACAGCACCAAAAAUCUACUUGAGAAAGAGGGCGACCUUGAAUGAGCUGCGUGACCCGCUGCGCUGCCUUCGUACAGCGUCGUUUUCGACGUCGUUUGGCUAGCAUUUGGUUAUUUUUAGUUAAAUACAUAUGUAAUUGGGAUACCCUAGCUGGAGGGAAAGUUGCAUUUUUUUAUUAGAAGCAACAUAAUAUUGAAUACUCUGAGCCCAAGAAAACAUGUAAAAUGGGAAUUUUUUAAAUAACUAAUAUCUUUUACCAUA